UACGUAGGGUGCGAGCGUUAAUCGGAAUUACUGGGCGUAAAGCGUGCGCAGGCGGUUAUGCAAGACAGAUGUGAAAUCCCCGGGCUCAACCUGGGAGCUGCAUUUGUGACUGCAUAGCUAGAGUGCGGCAGAGGGAGAUGGAAUUCCGCGUGUAGCAGUGAAAUGCGUAGAUAUGCGGAGGAACACCGAUGGCGAAGGCAAUCUCCUGGGCCUGCACUGACGCUCAUGCACGAAAGCGUGGGGAGCAAACAGG
rnacentral:rRNA from 1 species